rnacentral:rRNA from 1 species
AAUAAAAAAAAGAAAUAAGCAUUAAAAGGAUACCUUGGUAAAAGAAUUUAUUGGGUGUUUAACAACAAAAUUUUUAGUGGAGUUAAAAACUGUGAAACUAAAAUACCCAAAAAUAAAUUUUUCUCUUGAAAUUUUAAUAAAGUGAAUUGAAUCAUCUUAGUAACUUUAAAAAAAAAUCAACCGAGAUAUUGAAAGUAGUGGCGAACGAACUCAAUAAAGGGGAUGUAAAAAAUCAACUAUUCAUAUAAAGAUAAAAAAAUAUUUAAAUUAUGAUCAUGAUAAUACACAACAUAUAGAAGUGUUGUAUGCCUUAGAAGGUAAUUAAAAGCCCUGUAAAAUAUUUUUUAUUGAUUUUUAAGUAAAAGAAAUCAUAUUCUUUGAAAAUUGGGGGACCACCCUCAAAUCCUAAACAAAUUCUUUUAACCGAUAGUAAACAAGUACUGUGAAGGAAAGGUUAAAAAACUAAUGUUUUUUGAAAUUUAAUGCUAAUAAUCAAUUGAAGCUUUUUAAAUAAAGUGACAGUGUACCUUUUGCAUAAUGGGUCAGCGAGUUUUUUGAUUAGGGCAAGCUUUUAAAGAGGCGAAGGUAAAUCAAAGUUUAAAAAUUAAAAGUCUUAACAAAAAGACCCGAAACUGAGUGAUCUAACCUUGAACAGGCUGAAAAUAGAUUGGUAACAGUCGUUGAAGGGCCGAACCCGUGUUUGUGGCAACAAACUGGGAUGAUUUGAGGUUAGGAGUGAAAGGCUAAUCAAACUCAGAGAUAGCUGGUUUUCUGCGAAAUCUAUUUAAGUAGACCGAUUAAUUUAAAAAUUUUGGGGUAAAGCUCUUUUUAAAUGAUGGGGCAAGUUCGCUUACUGAUUUUAAGAAAACUAAGAAUACAAAAUUUUAUAAAAUUAAUUAGACAGACAAUGGAUGCUAAGGUCCAUUGUCAAAAGGGAAACAGCCCUACUUGAUCGCUAAGGUCCAAAAAAAAUUUUUUAGUCUAAGAAAGUAUUUUUACAAAAACAACUAAUAGGUAGGCUUGGAAGCAGCCAUUCUUAAAUGAAAUCGUAACAGAUCACUAGUCGAGUAAAAAUGCAUCGAAAAUUUAAUGGAAUAAAAAAAUUUACCGAAGCGGCAAACUUUUUUAAGUGGUAGCAGAACGUUCUGUAAAUCUAUUUUAUGAAGAAAAUUUGUUAAAAUUUUUGGAGAAAUCAGAAGUGAAAAUGCUGACAUGAGUAACAAAAAACAAUGUUUUAAUCAUUGUGGGUGAAAAUCCAAGGGUUUUGACGGUAGGAUUAUCCACGUCAAUUCAUCAUUCAAGAUGGUUUAGUUAGACGGCCCCUAAGAUUAAAAAUGAUAAUUUUUUUUAAUGGGUUAAAAAUUUUUUCUUAAAAAAAAACGACAAAUUUGUAAAAUUAUUUUUAAUUUAUAGAGUAAUAAAAAGUAAUUAAUAAAUUUCAGGAAAAAGUUUUUUUUAAUAAACUUAAACCGUACCUUAAACCAACUCAGGUGGAUAAGUUGAGUAAACUAAACCCUAUGAGAUAAUGAUGUUGAAGGAACUCGGCAAAAUGAUUCCGUAACUUCGGGAGAAGGAAUAACUUUAUUAGGGCAACCUUUUAAAGUUGUCACAAAAUUGGGGGUAGCGACUGUUUAAUAAAAACACAGGUCUCUGCUAAUUUGUAAAAAGAUGUAUAGGGACUGACACCUGCCCGGUGCUGUAAGGUUAAUUUUAGAAUGUUUUGGCAUUUUAUUUAAGCCUCAGUAAACGGCGGCUGUAACUCUGACGGUCCAAAGGUAGCGAAAUUCCUUGUCGGGUAAGUUCCGACCUGCAUGAAUGGUGUAACGACUUCCCCGCUGUCUCCAACAUCAACUCAGUGAAAUUGAAAUACCCGUGAAGAUGCGGGUUUUCUACAGCUAGACGGAAAGACCCCGUGCACCUUUACUAUAAUUAACUAUUGAAGAACUAAUAAAAUUGUGUAGAAUAAGUGGGAGUUGACGAUCUCUUUACGCCAGUAAAUCAAGGAAACAUCCGUGAAAUACCACUCUUUUUUAUUAGAACUUCUAACAAAUUGGACAGUUGUUAAUGGGUAGUUUGACUGGGGCGGUCACCUCCUAAAGAGUAACGGAGGUGUACAAAGGUAGGUUUGAAUUGGGAAAUUAUCAAUUUUAAAAUGCAAUGGUAAAAACCUGCUUAACUGAAAGAUCGACAGAUCGAACAGAAACGAAAGUUGGUCAUAGUGAUCCGGUGAUUUUUUGUGGAAAAAUCAUUGCUCAACGAAUAAAAGGUACGCCGGGGAUAACAGGCUGAUGACUCCCUAGAGCUCUUAUCGACGGAGUCGUUUGGCACCUCGAUGUCGGCUCAUCACAUCCUGGAGCUGAAGAAGGUUCCAAGGGUUCGGCUGUUCGCCGAUUAAAGUGGUACGCGAGCUGGGUUUAGAACGUCGUGAGACAGUUUGGUCCCUAUCUACUGUGGAUGUAAGAAAAUUGAGAGGGUUAAACCUUAGUACGAGAGGACCGGGAAAAGUAAACCUCUGGUGUACCGGUUGUUCUUUCUUGGAGCACCGCCGGGUAGCUAAGUUUAUGUAUGAGAAUCACUGAAACCAUAUAAGUGAGAAACUGCACUCAAAACAAAUUUUCUAUAAAAAAUGUAAAAGAUUAUUACAUCAAUAGGCCUUAAGUAUAAGUUUUGUAAGAAAUUUAGCUAAAAGGUACUAA